AUGCCGCGGUUGUACAGCCAUCCGGUGGUGCACCCCCACCCGGUGGUGGUGGCGGCGCCGCCAGCGCAGUGGCAGGCGGCAGCGCCGGCGGCAGAGGCGGCGCAGGGUGACGGGGCGAACGGGGACGGGAACGCGCCGCCUGGGGUCAUUAUGAGGAACAGGGGGAAGCGGUGCCGGCCCGGGAUGCGCCUCGCACAGGCCGCCUUCGCGGCCGCCGCGGUCGCCGCCAUGGCGUCCACCCACGGAUUCGCCUCCGUCACCGCGUUCCGCUACCUCGUAGUAGCAGCAACUGUGCAAUGCCUGUGGAGCCUCGUUGUGGCCAUUGUGGAUCUCUAUGCACUUCUUUUCAAACGUUCCUUCCGAAAUGCCCGAGCUUUCAGCAUGCUUGCCCUUGGGGACUGGGUUACAGGAGUAAUGAUCUUCAGCGCAGCGUGUGGAUCAGCAGGCAUCACUGUUCUCCUUGACAAUGAUCUCAGAUCUUGCCUGGGAAAUCACUGUCCAAGCUUCAUGACUGCUACCGCCAUGGCUUUCUUGUGCUGGUUUGUUCGUGUACCGUCCGGUAUCGCGAGCCUUUGGUGGGCGGUCUACGAAAUACAAAGAUCCUAG
rnacentral:rRNA from 1 species